rnacentral:lncRNA from 1 species
AUGCUGGCAUCUGUAGAGGAAGCUUUAGAUUACACCCCUGAGGGGCUCAGUGUUCACCUCAGGCAGAGGCUGAGCAAAGAAGCUGUCAGCUGGUUGAUGGAUUCUCCUGUCCUCAUUUUGAUGGAGUACUCCAGUGUUGUUCACAGCACUGAAAGGAUCUGUAGGAAUGCCCUAGCAUCUUGUUGUAUUGCCUCUCUUCAAGGUUUUUGGAGUUACGAAGACAUCAAGAUCCAGGCAGAAGUACUUGUGAUAGUUCUCCAGAUACACCUAGGGGACAGUUUAGAUCUGUCUUGCUUCCAGGCUGCAAACCCUCCAGGCAGGAGAGGAUUGAAUGCUGUGAGAAGCACCAUACCUCUGUUACAGGGACAGCCAACAGGAGCCCUGAUGCUUAAAAGAGCUGAGUCCACCUACAGGGCGCUUUCAUUCCUUCACCUCGUUGAAUCUCACUGUCUGCAUGCAGUAUCACACUUCAUGAUAGAAUUAACCUAUACCUCGUGCUUCUGUGCCAGUCACCGUGCAUGGAGAUUUGACAGGAUUUAGUGCUGACUUGUGGUGCAAACUGAGCUCAUGUUGUCUCUUCCUGGGAUCAAGAAGAAUUAAGUACUAUCCAGGUUGUGCUUACUGUGCUGCAGCCGGAAAUCAACACCCACACAAACUGGGGAAGAAUGAGGCUGUGUUUAUAUAUAUAGUUACCAUGUUUUGAAAUAAAUAUUGAUUCACUCCACUAAGUUGAUAAUUA